GGGCCCGCACAAGCAGCGGAGCAUGUGGUUUAAUUCGAAGCAACGCGAAGAACCUUACCUGGACUUGACAUCUCCUGAAUAAAUCUGUAAUGGAUGAAGCUCUUCGGAGCAGGAAGACAGGUGGUGCAUGGUUGUCGUCAGCUCGUGUCGUGAGAUGUUGGGUUAAGUCCCGCAACGAGCGCAACCCUUAUAGUUAGUUGCCAGCACGUUAUGGUGGGCACUCUAGCGAGACUGCCGGGGUUAACUCGGAGGAAGGUGGGGAUGACGUCAAAUCAUCAUGCCCCUUAUGUCCAGGGCGACACACGUGCUACAAUGGCGAGAACAAAGAGAAGCAAGACCGUGAGGUGGAGCAAAACUGAUAAAACUCGUCCCAGUUCGGAUUGUAGGCUGAAACUCGCCUACAUGAAGCCGGAGUUGCUAGUAAUCGCGAAUCAGAAUGUCGCGGUGAAUACGUUCCCGGGCCUU
rnacentral:rRNA from 1 species